rnacentral:rRNA from 1 species
UACGUAUGGAGCAAGCGUUAUCCGGAUUUACUGGGUGUAAAGGGAGCGCAGGCGGCUUUGCAAGUCUGAUGUGAAAGGCCGGGGCUCAACCCCGGGACUGCAUUGGAAACUGUAAAGCUAGAGUGCCGGAGAGGUAAGCGGAAUUCCUAGUGUAGCGGUGGAAUGCGUAGAUAUUAGGAGGAACACCAGUGGCGAAGGCGGCUUACUGGACGGCAACUGACGCUGAGGCUCGAAAGCGUGGGGAGCAAACAGG